rfam:Lucilia cuprina strain LS Scaffold285, whole genome shotgun sequence.
AUUUAAAUGAUGAACAAUUAACUUUCGCCCCUAUCUGAAAGUUUUGGAAACUUUUCAUGUUGAAUGCGAAUGAUUGGUCUUACUGACAAUUCCC